rnacentral:rRNA from 1 species
CCUACGGGGGGCAGCAGUGGGGAAUAUUGGACAAUGGGCGAAAGCCUGAUCCAGCCAUGCCGCGUGUGUGAAGAAGGCCUUCGGGUUGUAAAGCACUUUCAGUGGGGAAGAAAGCCUUGGGGCUAAUACCCUCGAGGAAGGACAUCACCCACAGAAGAAGCACCGGCUAACUCCGUGCCAGCAGCCGCGGUAAUACGGAGGGUGCGAGUGUUAAUCGGAAUUACUGGGCGUAAAGCGCGCGUAGGCGGUCUGAUAAGCCGGUUGUGAAAGCCCCGGGCUCAACCUGGGAACGGCAUCCGGAACUGUCAGGCUAGAGUGCAGGAGAGGAAGGUAGAAUUCCCGGUGUAGCGGUGAAAUGCGUAGAGAUCGGGAGGAAUACCAGUGGCGAAGGCGGCCUUCUGGACUGACACUGACGCUGAGGUGCGAAAGCGUGGGUAGCAAACAGGAUUAGAUACCCCAGUAGUC